AUCUGAUUCUUACAGAAGAUCUGACCCCCGAAAAAAGAAAGCAAAAAAGGGCCACCAUGCCCCAACUAGACCUGCAAACUCACAGGAUCAACUGACCAUGAAGCGGCUUCUUGACCAAGGCCUAGGGAGAGGCCACAAACACCUUCAAAUGGCCCAAGCAAAGCAGCCAGGAAAAGCCAGGCAACUUCCAACCACAGGUUGGGAGGCAGAAGCUUCCUGGGGAAGAGGCACCUAGCAACACAAUCCAGUCUGACUCCUGGACUAAAGGAACACUACUGGUGACCCUCAACCCUGAUCAAUUUCAAUAAAGGAUGUAGUGUCUCCCAAGGACCCAUGCUAGGAUAGUGCAUCUACCCCUAACCAACAAGCAGAGGAAGGAA